rnacentral:rRNA from 1 species
UACGUAGGGGGCAAGCGUUGUCCGGAAUUAUUGGGCGUAAAGCGCGCGCAGGCGGCUUUGUAAGUCUAGUGUUAAGCUCGGAGCUCAACUCCGAUACGCACCGGAAACUGCAAGGCUUGAGUACAGAAGAGGAAAGUGGAAUUCCGACGUGUAGCGGUGAAAUGCGUAGAGAUGUGGAGGAACACCAGUGGCGAAGGCGACUUCUGGGUCUGUAACUGACGCUGAGGCGCGAAAGCG